GGACGGUGUUCGGAAUAAUUGGGCGUAAGAGCUCGUAUGCGGUUCUGUCGCGUCUGCUGUGAAAGCCCGGGGCUCAACCCCGGGUCUGCAGUGGGUACGGGCAGACUAGAGUGCAGUAGGGGAGACUGGAAUUCCUGGUGUAGCGGUGAAAUGCGCAGAUAUCAGGAGGAACACCGAUGGCGAAGGCAGGUCUCUGGGCUGUUACUGACGCUGAGGAGCGAAAGCAUGGGGAGCGAACAGGAUUAGAUACCCUGGUAGUCCAUGCCGUAAACGUUGGGCACUAGGUGUGGGGGACAUUCCACGUUCUCCGCGCCGUAGCUAACGCAUUAAGUGCCCCGCCUGGGGAGUACGGCCGCAAGGCUAAAACUCAAAGGAAUUGACGGGGGCCCGCACAAGCGGCGGAGCAUGCGGAUUAAUUCGAUGCAACGCGAAGAACCUUACCAAGGCUUGACAUCCACCGGACCGCACUGGAGACAGUGCUUCCCUUCGGGGCUGGUGGACAGGUGGUGCAUGGUUGUCGUCAGCUCGUGUCGUGAGAUGUUGGGUUAAGUCCCGCAACGAGCGCAACCCUCGUUCUAUGUUGCCAGCACGUGAUGGUGGGGACUCAUAGGAGACUGCCGGGGUCAACUCGGAAGAAGGUGGGGAUGACGUCAAAUCAUCAUGCCCCUUAUGUCUUGGGCUUCACGCAUGCUACAAUGGCCGGUACAAAGGGUUGCGAUACUGUGAGGUGGAGCUAAUCCCAAAAAGCCGGUCUCAAUUCGGAUUGAGGUCUGCAACUCUACCUCAUGAAAUCGGAGUCUCUAGUAAUCGCAGAUCAACUACGCUGCGCUGAAUACGUUCCCGGGGCCUUGUACACCCCGCCCGUCAAGUGAGGAAAAGUCGGUAACACCCCAAAGCCGGUGGCCUAACCCCUUGUUGGGAGGCAGCCGUCCAAAAGUUGGACCAGGGAAUUGGGACUACCUCUUACAGGUGUAACCCGUUAAAUUGCUUUUUUUGUGAC
rnacentral:rRNA from 1 species